rnacentral:rRNA from 1 species
UACGAAGGGGGCUAGCGUUGUUCAGAAUCACUGGGCGUAAAGGGCGCGUAGGCGGCUGUUCAAGUCGGGGGUGAAAUCCUGGAGCUCAACUCCAGAACUGCCUUUGAUACUGGAGAGCUUGAGUCCGGAAGAGGUGAGUGGAACUCCGAGUGUAGAGGUGAAAUUCGUAGAUAUUCGGAAGAACACCAGUGGCGAAGGCGGCUCACUGGUCCGGUACUGACGCUGAGGUGCGAAAGCGUGGGGAGCAAACAGG